AGCGAACGCUGGCGGCAGGCCUAACACAUGCAAGUCGAACGAACUCUUCGGAGUUAGUGGCGGACGGGUGAGUAACACGUGGGAACGUGCCUUUAGGUUCGGAAUAACUCAGGGAAACUUGAGCUAAUACCGGAUGUGCCCGUCGGGGGAAAGAUUUAUCGCCUUUAGAGCGGCCCGCGUCUGAUUAGCUAGUUGGUGAGGUAAAGGCUCACCAAGGCGACGAUCAGUAGCUGGUCUGAGAGGAUGAUCAGCCACAUUGGGACUGAGACACGGCCCAAACUCCUACGGGAGGCAGCAGUGGGGAAUCCUGCGCAAUGGGCGAGAGCCUGACGCAGCCACGCCGCGUGAAUGAUGAAGGUCUUAGGAUUGUAAAAUUCUUUCACCGGGGACGAUAAUGACGGUACCCGGAGAAGAAGCCCCGGCUAACUCUGUGCCAGCCGCCGCAGUAAAAC
rnacentral:rRNA from 1 species